UACGGAGGAUGCAAGCGUUAUCCGGAAUGAUUGGGCGUAAAGCGUCCGCAGGUGGCUGUGUAAGUCUGCUGUUAAAGAGUCAUGCUCAACAUGAUAAGAGCAGUGGAAACUACACGGCUAGAGUGCGUUCGGGGCAGAGGGAAUUCCUGGUGUAGCGGUGAAAUGCGUAGAGAUCAGGAAGAACACCGGUGGCGAAAGCGCUCUGCUGGACCUUAACUGACACUGAGGGACGAAAGCUAGGGGAGCGAAUGGG
rnacentral:rRNA from 1 species